rnacentral:rRNA from 1 species
AUUGAACGCUGGCGGCAGGCCUAACACAUGCAAGUCGAACGAGUGGCGGACGGGUGAGUAAUAUAUGGGGAUCUGCCUGAUGGAGGGGGAUAACUACUGGAAACGGUGGCUAAUACCGCAUACUAUCGGAUGUACCCAUAUGGGAUUAGCUAGUAGGUGGGGUAAAGGCUCACCUAGGCGACGAUCUCUAGCUGGUCUGCGAGGAUGAUCAGCCACAUUGGAACUGAGAGACGGCCCAGACUCCGACGGGAGGCAGCAGUGGGGAAUAUUGCACAAUGGGCGCAAGCCGGAUGCAGCCAUGCCGCGGGUAUGAAGAAGGCCUUAGGGUUGUAAAGUACUUUCAGCGGGGAGGCGGUACCCGCAGAAGAAGCACCGGCUAACUCCGUGCCAGCAGCCGCGGUAAUAC